rnacentral:rRNA from 1 species
AACGAACGCUGGCGGCAUGCCUAACACAUGCAAGUCGAACGAGACCUUCGGGUCUAGUGGCGCACGGGUGCGUAACGCGUGGGAACAUGCCCUUAGGUUCGGGAUAACUCCCCGAAAGGGGUGCUAAUAACGGAUAAUGUCUUCGGACCAAAGAUUUAUCGCCUUUGGAUGGGCCCGCGUUGGAUUAGCUAGUUGGUAGGGUAAAAGCCUACCAAGGCGACGAUCCAUAGCUGGUCUGAGAGGAUGAUCAGCCACACUGGGACUGAGACACGGCCCAGACUCCUACGGGAGGCAGCAGUAGGGAAUAUUGGACAAUGGGCGAAAGCCUGAUCCAGCAAUGCCGCGUGAGUGAUGAAGGCCUUAGGGUUGUAAAGCUCUUUUACCCGAGAUGAUAAUGACAGUACCGGGAGAAUAAGCUCCGGCUAACUCCGUG